rnacentral:rRNA from 1 species
AGUGAACGCUGGCGGUAGGCCUAACACAUGCAAGUCGAACGGCAGCACAGUAAGAGCUUGCUCUUACGGGUGGCGAGUGGCGGACGGGUGAGGAAUACAUCGGAAUCUACUUUUUCGUGGGGGAUAACGUAGGGAGACUUACGCUAAUACCGCAUACGACCUACGGGUGAAAGCAGGGGAUCUUCGGACCUUGCGCGAUUGAAUGAGCCGAUGUCGGAUUAGAUAGUUGGCGGGGUAAAGGCCCACCAAGGCGACGAUCCGUAGCUGGUCUGAGAGGAUGAUCAGCCACACUGCAACAGAGCCACGGUCCAGACUCCUACGGGAGGCAGCAGUGGGGAAUAUUGGACAAUGGGCGCAAGCCUGAUCCAGCCAUACCGCGUGGGUGAAGAAGGCCUUCGGGUUGUAAAGCCAUUUUGUUGGGAAAGAAAAGCAGCAGGUUAAUACCCCGCUGUUCUGACGGUACCCAAAGAAUAAGCACCGGCUAACUUCGUG